rnacentral:rRNA from 1 species
GCGUGCAGGACGAAGGCCUUCGGGUUGUAAACUGCUUUUGUACGGAGCGAAACGAUCUUCUCUAAUACAGAGGGUUAAUGACGGUACCGUAAGAAUAAGCACCGGCUAACUACGUGCCAGCAGCCGCGGUAAUACGUAGGGUGCAAGCGUUAAUCGGAAUUACUGGGCGUAAAGCGUGCGCAGGCGGUCCUUUAAGACAGGUGUGAAAUCCCCGGGCUUAACCUGGGAACUGCAUUUGUGACUGAAGGGCUAGAGUACGGCAGAGGGGGAUGGAAUUCCGCGUGUAGCAGUGAAAUGCGU